GUGCAGCAGGCGAGAAACCUCCGCAAUACACGAAAGUGUGACGGGGCCAUCCCGAGUGCCGUCCGCUGAGGACGGCUUUUCCCCAGUGUACAUAGCUGGGGGAAUAAGGAGAGGGCAAGCCUGGUGUCAGCCGCCGCGGUAAUACCAGCUCUCCGAGUGGUGGGGACGCUUAUUGGGCCUAAAGCAUCCGUAGCCGGCUGGGCAAGUCCUCCGUUAAAUCCAACGAUUCAAUCGUUGGGCUGCGGGGGAUACUGUCCAGCUU
rnacentral:rRNA from 1 species